UCUCUCUAUGUAUGGUGUCGAGCAAUGGAACUGCAGUGAUCUGGCAGUGUGACUGUUGACCUCCUUGACACCAUUCACGUUCGUCGCUCUGAACCCACUCAGCAGACAAGUUGGCAUAGACAUGUUUACAUCAGCAAUCUUUUCUUUGAGAUAUCUGGUGGCCUUUCGUAACCAUCGAAUUCAAGUCAUCUUUGAGUACAUGACAUCUUCUGAAGUUCGUGCCAUCAUGCUUUAGUUUUCCCACAUGAGCUGAGAUUAUUCAAAUAAAAAGACGGUCUCAGGCACAAGAGCAUGAUGUGCUUCCGCCAGUUGCUUUCACACCAAGGCCACGCGGUUGAUCAUCUAAGCGCACCUAUGAAGUUGACCAACAAGGAAGUUGGCCAGAGCUACUAAUUAGUAUGCCUAAUUGCUAUUGCUUUGUAGUUUGACCGCCUCUACCGUCAGUAUGCCUGGCUUUUGCUUUCUUAUUAUGUUCCUGCUAUUAGUACUUCCUCUCUCGUGUUCGUGCUCUUAGUAUUGAACUUAAUGUUGUAGUUAUUAGCUUUUGUGGUCUAAUGAACUAACUGAGUGUUUAUAAUUUCAUGACGAUGUUGAACUCGAUAACUAAAUGAUCAUUAUCU